UUAUUUUAUCAUACAAGAAAAAAAAAAGCAUUUAGAAAACAUAAAAUAAAAAAUAUAAGCAGUUUUAGUUUUUAAAAAAUAAACAACAAAAAAGUACAAUAAUAACGAAUGUACGCUUAUUUUGCUACAAAUUAGGCUGAGAAUUAAUCCGCUUUAUAUCAUUAAUACUGAAAUUCUGCUCAGUAUGAUGAGAUCUCGGCUUACUGUCAGUAAUAUGGAGCCGCAUGUUGAAUGCUGUGUCAGUAUAACAAUAACGAGAAGGCAAGCGGGAGAAGGCCGGCUGAGCUCCAACUUCUAGUCCGUUGUUUGAGAUUCUAUCCCACUGAUCGAAGCUGUAUAUAGUGCAACCGCAUAACUUUUUAUAAGGAUUCUAUUUGUGUGUGUAUCUAACAUUGUAUCGAUUGGCUAAUCCACUGGUAAGUGAUGAGCUACCAUAUGCUCCUGACGUGAAAACUGAAUGUAAAUUUCUGACAUUGUCGAGUUUUGGAUUGAUGUUUAGAAUAUUUGAAUUUUUAGUAGGUUUCUUGCAAUUCAUUUUAUUCUCAUAAGAGAAAAGCUCAUUGCUUUGCAGAAUUUCUUGUGGUUGCUUUUGUUUUCACCUUCUCCAGUCAAAUCAAAAGGCUUACAAGCUUCUGCGUGUUAUCAGACAGCUUGUUAUAUAUAUAUAUUUUUUUUAUUAUCAAAUAGGCUCUGCCAUAAACUUAAUAAGAUGUUAUGCUUGGAUGGAAAACUUGAAAUGUCUGGUCCUUAUGUAAAUCAAUCACUGAUGUUAACAAAGUCCGCUGCAUUUUUGCGCUCAUCAUUUGAGACAUAUCUUGAUUGCAGGCCUUUGUUGGCUUAAAUAACCUGACCUUUUUGAUUAUACAUAUUGGAAUUUAAGUGGCUCCUUGUCCAGAAUCUGAGCAUUUGCAAUUCUUUUUUCAUGGAUAAUUCUAUUUCUAAUGCUACUUUGUGAGCUAGUUUAUAGUUUAGUCUUCCUUUAAUUUUUUUUUUUUUUUUUACUCUUGUUUUGGAUACCUUGUGCUUGGCUAUUGUCAGAACUAUUUACUAAUUCUUUCACUCUAUGUUCCAUGGAAAGAUAUAACCUUGUUACAUUAGCCUGAUCCUUUUCAUUGUAAGGCAUUUGCUAUCACUUAUCACAACCAUUUGGACAAAUAGUUCAUUCAGUGUCUCCAUCAUCUUGGUUUUGACGUGCUUUGAGUUUAGGAAACUUUAGUGAGAUACCAUUUUGUAUGUUGAAUGAGUAGAAGGCAGUUUGUGCCUUUUUAUUUUAUGGGUUCACAUUUCAUUAUUAUAAAUGCGACCUGAUUGUCAUAUUAAACAAGCACUUGCAUCUAUCUGAUUCUGGCAAGGGCUACAAUGAGAUCUAAUACUGUAAAAGCAUAAGAUGCUGUCAUAGAAAUCUUCCAAAUGUUUUACUUUUCAAACAACAGCAACAACAGAAUCAGAUAUAAUUGGGAUGUAAUGCAACUUGAUGGGUAUAAUUGGGACAUAAUUUGAUAGUUACUCUUAUAUUCAUGUUUCUGUUUGCCUUCCGUUUCUAUACCUUGGUCAUUUGCCUUUGUUUUUACACAAAUUUCUUGAUUUUGUUCUUUUCUGUGCAUUGAUUAUUUACCUUUCCUUUUUUAUGCUAUUUUGUGUUCUAUAUUGAGUAUUUAUAUAGUUUAAUUCACUAGUAGUGAUUGUCACUGUCUUUCAGGUCAUUUUAGAACUGGGAGAGAAGGGUACAGCAUUUUACUCUUUGUCAACAUCAUGCACGUUAGAUUUGCUUCCCAGAUACUUGAGCACCAAUUUCAAGUUCUUGACUAGCUUUACUCAAAUUUUGUUUUUAUUAUGGUCUCUUACAUUUGUGUUGUGUCAUUAAUGGUUGCUGAUACCUUUAAUCCUUUUGCUUUAGUUAUAGGUUUAUUUGUGAUGUUUGCUUUCUGAAAACUUUGAUUUCAGUUGAUGGUGAGUCUCACCUUCUCUUAUGGAAUUGCAAUAUGAGCAGCUCCAUGUCACAUGGAAGUUCAACCUGAUAUGCAUGCAUGAACCUUCUCUUAAUUGUUUGCUUAUUUUAGUGAUCAUUUCACUGGCUAGGUAAUACAGAUGAUUCAGGCUUUUAUAAUGAUGUACCUUAUGCUGUAAACUUAGCUUGGAUAAUUGUGGGGGGGUUGGGGGGGAGGGCACUGGGGGCGCGCAGCAUCUUCUUCUCUUUUUUACCCAUGUCAUUUUCUUUCAGAAUUAGUGAGUAAUGUGCUAGAACAGGGAUAAAAUCUUAGUAAUAAAAGGUUGUAGCAUCACACACACUUGGGCUGUGUAAGAAAAAAUGUUUAUGCUUCCAAGAGAUAUGUAAAUCAAUAAAUCAUUUACUGUGUAAUGGAGUCGUUUUGCAAUUUUUUUCUUUUAAAUUUCUCCACUAUCGGACACAGUGAUCCUGUAAUUUGUGAACCAAAAUGAUAUUUUUAGUUCAUUUAUAUGUUUUAGUCUA